AGGGUGCUUACCUGCAAGUCGAACGAUGACGGUGGUGCUUGCACCACCUGAUUAGUGGCGAACGGGUGAGUAACACGUGAGUAACCUGCCCCCCACUUCGGGAUAACCUCGGGAAAUCGUGGCUAAUACCGGAUACGAGCACUCAUCGCAUGGUGGGUGCUGGAAAGAUUUAUCGGUGGGGGAUGGACUCGCGGCCUAUCAGUUUGUUGGUGAGGUGAUGGCUCACCAAGACGAUGACGGGUAGCCGGCCUGAGAGGGCGACCGGCCACACUGGGACUGAGACACGGCCCAGACUCCUACGGGAGGCAGCAGUGGGGAAUAUUGCACAAUGGGCGAAAGCCUGAUGCAGCGACGCCGCGUGGGGGAUGACGGCCUUCGGGUUGUAAACCCCUUUCAGUAGGGAAGAAGCGAGAGUGACGGUACCUGCAGAAGAAGCGCCGGCUAACUACGUGCCAGCAGCCGCGGUAAUACGUAGGGCGCAAGCGUUGUCCGGAAUUAUUGGGCGUAAAGAGCUUGUAGGUGGCUUGUCGCGUCUGCCGUGAAAACCCGAGGCUCAACCUCGGGCGUGCGGUGGGUACGGGCAGGCUAGAGUGUGGUAGGGGAGACUGGAACUCCUGGUGUAGCGGUGAAAUGCGCAGAUAUCAGGAAGAACACCGAUGGCGAAGGCAGGUCUCUGGGCCAUUACUGACACUGAGAAGCGAAAGCAUGGGUAGCGAACAGGAUUAGAUACCCUGGUAGUCCAUGCCGUAAACGUUGGGCACUAUGUGUGGGGGACAUUCCACGUUUUCCGCGCCGUAGCUAACGCAUUAAGUGCCCCGCCUGGGGAGUACGGCCGCAAGGCUAAAACUCAAAGGGAAUUUGACCGGGGGCCCGCCACAAGCCGCCG
rnacentral:rRNA from 1 species